rnacentral:rRNA from 1 species
AGAGUUUGAUCCUGGCUCAGAAUGAACGCUGGCGGCAGGCCUAACACAUGCAAGUCGAACGGAAACGACAAGAACAAACUCUUCGGAGGGCGAUCUUGGGCGUCGAGUGGCGGACGGGUGAGUAACGCGUGGGAAUCUACCCUUUAGUUGGGGACAACAUAUGGAAACGUAUGCUAAUACCGAAUAUGCUCUACGGAGUAAAGGUGGCCUCUACUUGUAAGCUAUCGCUAAAGGAUGAGCCCGCGUUAGAUUAGCUAGUUGGUGGGGUAAAGGCCUACCAAGGCGACGAUCUAUAGCUGGUUUGAGAGGAUGAUCAGCCACACUGGGACUGAGACACGGCCCAGACUCCUACGGGAGGCAGCAGUGGGGAAUAUUGCACAAUGAGGGAAACCUUGAUGCAGCCAUGCCGCGUGUGUGAAGAAGGCCCGAGGGUUGUAAAGCACUUUCAAUUGUGAGGAAAGGUUAGUCGCUAAUAUCGGCUAGCUGUGACGUUAACUUUAGAAGAAGCACCGGCUAACUCUGUGCCAGCAGCCGCGGUAAUACAGAGGGUGCAAGCGUUAUUCGGAAUUACUGGGCGUAAAGCGCGCGUAGGCGGACUGUUAAGUCGGUUGUGAAAGCCCUGGGCUCAACCUAGGAAUUGCAUCCGAUACUGGCAAUCUAGAGUUUAGGAGAGGGAAGUGGAAUUCCUGGUGUAGCAGUGAAAUGCGUAGAUAUCAGGAGGAACAUCAGUGGCGAAGGCGACUUCCUGGCCUAAAACUGACGCUGAGGUGCGAAAGCGUGGGUAGCGAACGGGAUUAGAUACCCCGGUAGUCCACGCCGUAAACGAUGUCAACUAGCUGUUGGCCUUAUUAAAAAGGUUAGUAGCGUAGCUAACGCGCUAAGUUGACCGCCUGGGGAGUACGGUCGCAAGAUUAAAACUCAAA